CCCCUCUAAGGGUCGCUCCUGGAGAGUUUCCAGUACACUACCAGUCUUGGCUAUCGGAGGGAGAGUCAAGCAGAGGCAUAUUCAUUCCAUUCCUAUCUUGGGCAGUGGCUAGUGAGUGGAAGACAAUCUGCUACAAGU